rnacentral:rRNA from 1 species
GAUGAACGCUGGCGGCGUGCCUAAUACAUGCAAGUCGAGCGAACGGACGAGAAGCUUGCUUUUCUGAUGUUAGCGGCGGACGGGUGAGUAACACGUGGAUAACCUACCUAUAAGACUGGGAUAACUUCGGGAAACCGGAGCUAAUACCGGAUAAUAUUUUGAACCGCAUGGUUCAAAAGUGAAAGACGGUCUUGCUGUCACUUAUAGAUGGAUCCGCGCUGCAUUAGCUAGUUGGUAAGGUAACGGCUUACCAAGGCAACGAUGCAUAGCCGACCUGAGAGGGUGAUCGGCCACACUGGAACUGAGACACGGUCCAGACUCCUACGGGAGGCAGCAGUAGGGAAUCUUCCGCAAUGGGCGAAAGCCUGACGGAGCAACGCCGCGUGAGUGAUGAAGGUCUUCGGAUCGUAAAACUCUGUUAUUAAGGAAGAACAUAUGUGUAAGUAACUGUGCACAUCUUGACGGUACCUAAUCAGAAAGCCACGGCUAACUACGUG